GACGAACGCUGGCGGCGUGCCUAACACAUGCAAGUCGAGCGGAGAGAUUGUCGUAUUUAUAUGACAUGAUCUUAGCGGCGGACGGGUGAGUAACACGUGGGUAACCUGCCUCAAAGUGGGGGAUAGCCUUUCGAAAGGAAGAUUAAUACCGCAUAAGAUUGUAGCAUCACAUGAUGCAGCAAGAAAAGGAGCAAUCCGCUUUGAGAUGGACCCGCGGCGCAUUAGCUAGUUGGUGAGGUAACGGCUCACCAAGGCCACGAUGCGUAGCCGACCUGAGAGGGUGAUCGGCCACAUUGGAACUGAGAUACGGUCCAGACUCCUACGGGAGGCAGCAGUGGGGAAUAUUGCACAAUGGGCGAAAGCCUGAUGCAGCAACGCCGCGUGAGUGAUGAAGGCUUUCGAGUCGUAAAGCUCUUUGAUCAGGGAUGAUAAUGACAGUACCUGAAAAACAAGCCACGGCUAACUACGUG
rnacentral:rRNA from 1 species